GGGACCGGUGAAGGUGGGCCUAACUUGGUUUAUUUAUUUAUUGUUACCCAUUGCCAGCUCCUGGACCACUUGGACUCUUGGGACAGGCAGUGGUUCGAUCUCACCAGAUUUUUAAUUGUUCACUAUUUAUCCUUCUCAAAUCUGUUAGCCGUUCCGCUCCCAGCAUCCUGAAGUGAACAGAGCUAAGAGGGAGAAGAGCUAACACUGGGAGAGCUCCAGGGUAGAUGCUAAAUGUUGAACUUGACUGUGAAGUCCUCCCAUUUGUUGUUGAAAUGGGAGCUGAUGCCUUUUAUACAAUGUUAUCAAAGUGUGAAAAUUUUCCCUUACUGAAACAGAGAACAUUAAAAAUAUAUGUGUGCGUAUAUAUGUAUACACACACACACACACACACACACACACACACACACACACACACACACACCCUACUCACAAAUAAAGCCAAAGCCCAGCCUUUUGCUCGGGCUGAUGUAUCCUCCUCGACUUGACCUGCGCCCUUUCUGUUUCCCAGAUCCCACUGUGUCAUGUGGGCAUUGAUUUUAUUCUCAUUCUCUUUGGUGCCACAACCACCAAAACAAGGCCUGGGUCUAGACCCAAGUGAGCUCGCUCCUCCACUUGAGCGUGUUGGUGACACACCUAACUUAAAUGUCUUUGCCUUAUUCAUCAUUUGGUCCUGCUGUUAAUAACAAAUUUAUUAUCGUGUAUAUUUGCUAUUGAAGAUGGGAACGUGAUCCUCAAAUUGUUGGUCUGUUUUGUAUGUUGUGCAAAACUUGUAACACAGGUUUAAGGCGGGUGGGCUGUGAGAACACUGAAAACGUGCCCUUUGAAGCCGUUAUGUCCUCAUGGGAAUGUCGUCUCUUCAGUGGAAGAUUGGGUGGUCUCACGUUGAGGUUACUGCUUAGUCCCUUUAACUCCCCGUGCCCUCCCAAAGGGGAGAGACAUUACUCAGCUAAGCAGCCAGAAGCUAUGUCAGCAGCUUCCAUGGUAUUUUUCCCUAAUGGGAAGCACUUGAUAGCUAUUUCUUCCUGCCCUGCCCGAAGCCAGGCAGUGGUCUGAUGUUCAGAUGAACUAGAUGCUCCUCUUCCCCUUCUCCAGUCCCCAAACCUGGACCAAAGUACUUCAAGUUCCAGGUGUGGUGUCCUCUCUCCUGGGAUGUGCUGCAGCUGCAGAACCCUGCCCUUUUCACAGCCUGGGCCACAGUGUGAGCCUCUCUGGCUAUCCCAGCUCAGGACGUGAGGCGGUCAUCACCAGGAAUUUAUCCCUGCCCCCUUCCCUAGCAGAGGCAAAGAAACUAGUCACUGGCGGUUGAGGGGAAUUCCCUCACCCUAUGGCUUCCCAGCUUGAAACCCGGACUCACCUCCUGGGAGAGGUGAGGGGCGGGGAGAACUGUAAAUAGAUUUGCUGCAGAGCAACUCAGGGUUGGGGUAUGUUUUAAUUCUCCUGAUCACUUGAAAAUAAUCUGUAGGCUGAAUGCUUCUGGAGUGUGGGAGAAAUGUGACUCCAGGGUCCUUCGUUCUCUGAGGCUCUGGGGGUGGAGUGUAGGGCCUGAGAAGCCCUUUGAUAGCGCGACUGCACUGUCCUUCUGGAAACCCAACCUGCCAUCAGCCGGAAAUCCAGAUUCCUCACAUUCCAGUGUGAGCUUUCUUUCCCUGUGACUCUCAGUCUCUAGCUAUGUGGUCUGGGGAACUCUGUUAAACCACCCAAAUUUAGGGAAUGAGAGGGAAGAAAGGAGGCCAUUAUAACUCUGCCUUCAAGAAUCAUUUCUUGAAAACAAAAUGGAAAAAAAAAAAAGAUAACCACCUUCAAUCACAGGCAAAACCAAAACAAAAAAAAAAAAAACCAACAGCAACCAUUUAACUGAAGGAAGGGCCUGGUUCCACUCCACCCCACGUUCAUUGUGCCUUUACUUGUGUUAGCUCUCUGUGCUUUCUUCCUCCCCUCUAUGACGCCAUUGAUUAAAACCUUCCUUAAUAACCGCCGUUUCCUUUCUGCUCAUUCCUUAAAGCUUGGUGGGUUCCUUCUCUGAUUGUCUUCCGCCUUACUCGCCUGGUGGCCGAGGGGCUCAGCGCACCCCCCUUUUUCAUGUCUAACCCGUCUCCUUCCCCACAGUUUCCAGCCUGGAAGUUAACAGUCAACACUGAGUGAGAGACCAGAGUGCUGUGUGUGCAUGUGCGUGCCCGCGUGUGUGUCCAUCUGCAUGUGUGUCAGUUUCCUUGAAAAAUAAUUUAUUGUGUGAUUUAUUCUGGAGUUUUUGUUGGGGUUACAGAGCCGCUCCUCGAUGGCACGGAUCCCUGCAUCCCCCCACCCCUGGCAUAAAAUGUAUUAUCUGGUCUCAGGUUGGAUUCCCUGGUACGGUUCUUUCUGUGCGGUUUAAUUAAACCUUAAAAGCAAAAAAGAAAGCUCUGUGUAUUUUUGUCAUGAGCAGUACUGUUUCAAGGGACGGCACGGAGAGAGGAGGAAACCCACUGCCUCCUCUUCUGGGCAGGCGUGGCGGUUUGAUUUCAGGCUCGUGUGGGUGUGUGCGGCAGGAGCACCCGAAGCUUUCUGCAGGCCUCUGCCUGUGUGUGUUUUUUUUUUUUUUUUUUAGAUUUAUUCAUUUAUUAUAUAUAAGUACACUGUAGCUGUCUUCAGAUACACCAGAAGAGGGCAUCGGAUCUCUUUACAGAUGGUUGUGAGCCACCAUGUGGCUGCUGGGAAUUGAACUCAGGACCUCUGGAAGAGCAGUCGGGGCUCUUAACCGCUGAGCCAUCUCUCCAGCCCCAUGCCUGUGUGUUUUAAAAACCACCAUUUUGGCCUGGCUGACCAGUGAUUCUGUUUUGUAUUUGCUGCUUAAGUCCGCAUUGCCUUCCAUGGGUUCUGUUCCUUGUGACCCCUUCAAUUCUAUCUUCCCGUGCCUGUGCUUUGAGGCUGAUUCUCACGCAGUCAGUGGAAGAAAAGGUGGAGGCAGGGCCCUCCUCUUG
rnacentral:lncRNA from 1 species